rnacentral:tRNA from 1 species
GGCGUGGUAGCUCAGCUGGUCAGAGCGCAGGAUUCAUAAUCCUGAGGUCGAGAGUUCAAGCCUCUCCCACGCUA